UCCAGACUCCUACGGGAGGCAGCAGUGGGGGAUAUUGCACAAUGGGGGGAACCCUGAUGCAGCGACGCCGCGUGAGGGAAGACGGUUUUCGGAUUGUAAACCUCUGUCUUUAGGGACGAAACAAAUGACGGUACCUAAAGAGGAAGCCACGGCUAACUACGUGCCAGCAGCCGCGGUAAUACGGAGGAUGCGAGCGUUAUCCGGAUUUAUUGGGUUUAAAGGGUGCGUAGGCGGAAUGCCAAGUCAGCGGUAAAAUCGCGGGGCUCAACCUCGCUCCGCCGUUGAAACUGGCGUUCUUGAGUGGGCGAGAAGUAUGCGGAAUGCGUGGUGUAGCGGUGAAAUGCAUAGAUAUCGCGCAGAACCCCGAUUGCGAAGGCAGCGUACCGGCUCCACACUGACGCUGAGGCACGAAAGCGUGGGUAUCGAACAGGAUUAGAUACCCGGGUAGG
rnacentral:rRNA from 1 species